AACGCGAAGAACCUUACCUGGGCUCGAAAUUUUGUCGACAGUCUCAGAGAUGAGAUCUUCCCGCAAGGGACGGCAGAAUAGGUGCUGCAUGGCUGUCGUCAGCUCGUGUCGUGAGAUGUUGGGUUAAGUCCCGCAACGAGCGCAACCCUUGUAGUUAGUUGUAUUUUUCUAACUAGACUGCCCUGGUAACAGGGAGGAAGGAGGGGAUGAUGUCAGGUCAGUAUUUCCCUUAUGUCUGGGGCUACAAACACGCUACAAUGGCCGGUACAAAGGGCAGCCAAGUCGCGAGACGGAGCAAACCCCAUCAAAGCCGGUCUCAGUUCGGAUUGUAGGCUGAAACUCGCCUGCAUGAAGCUGGAAUCGCUAGUAACGGUAGGUCAGCACACUACCGUGAAUACGUUCCCGGGCCUUGUACACACCGACUGUAC
rnacentral:rRNA from 1 species